ensembl:lncRNA
CAUUCACUCCCUCCCACCUACAACUCCUGCCAGCACCGAGACUCGAACCUGCGACCUUCUGGUUACAAAGCCAAAUUUCUAACCAUUAGGCCACAGCUGCCCCUAAGAAAGACUAGAGAAAGACCAAAAGACACUGAGAAUAUAAUUUUGGUAAUGUUUGUUCUGCUGAUUUCUGUUUAUACAAUGAAGGCUGAUUUUCAGAAGCUUCAAAAGCAUCAUCAUCAAAAAAUGUCAUGGAGCUUUCAUCCGAAGUGAUUUAUAGUGCUCUUAUUACAGGGGCCAACAAUCCCGAUCAACCUGGAGAAAAGAGCCUUGCUCAAGGACACACUGGUGGUUUUGAACCAGCAACCUUCUGCUCACCACUUCAGUGGUUUAGCCCACUACAAAAUUAGUUGUGCUCAUGGAGAGCAGGCACACAGAUGUUUGGAGCAGACACAGCAGCAGCCAGAUUGUCCCGCACGUGUUACCCUGCUCUUGCUUCAAGGUUGUGUGGUUCAGAGAGCCGUCAUCAUGGUCUUCCGCAUCCUGUUGCUCAAUGAUGUCCCCAUUGAGAAGAGUGAAAUUGUGAAGCACAGCGCAGCAGGAGAAUUGGCACAGCUGUACUGAGAUGGCAGGAGGAUGUGGGGUUCACGAUCUGUAAAUACAUGAUUGUUAGAACAAUAAGUUUGAAUGAAGCUUUUGUUGGAUACUCAGAAGUGAAGACCAGGAGACUCAGCAGAAUUCUUUAUUGAGAACACUCUGCUUAGCGCUACAGUCAUCAAAAGUCUAACCAAAGCAGUGAUACUUUGGAGUUUAUAUACAUUUCAAGGGGGAGGGAUACAUAGAGGUGGAGACAAUUUAAACAAAGCAAGCAAAUGGAAUCAGGAAAAUGCCAGACACUGGCAUUUUCCCAGCCUUGAUCUCAUCAGCAUAACAGUGUCAUUUAAAUACAGAGGUGCCUGACAGUAUCACCCAUACAUUCACAUUAUCAUAGAAACAAAGGCACAUGCAGCUGUGCCUUGAGUUUAUGGUCAGGAAGAGCAAACAAAAGGUCAAUGUCUCAGAAACCUGGGCUGCUUGACUUGAUCAUCUCAGAAUGUCAUCAUCUUAACCUCAAAAUGUAAAAAACACAAUGUUCAUUCUAUUACAUUGGAACCUAGAUUUAACAUUUUAUAAAUUUGUAAUCCCACACCUUGUUUCAUGUGAUGUUGACUUGUAUAUGUAUGUAUUUAUUGUGAUGCUAACUUUUAUACGUUCUUUUAAUCAUUUAUUCAUGUUUCUUGUUGUCAGUAAAUAAAAUAUAUUUUAUUCAUUCA